rnacentral:rRNA from 1 species
CCUACGGGAGGCAGCAGUGAGGAAUAUUGGUCAAUGGGCGCGAGCCUGAACCAGCCAAGUCGCGUGAGGGAGGACGGCCCUACGGGUUGUAAACCUCUUUUGCCGGGGAGCAACGGGCGCCACGUGUGGCGCCACUGAGAGUACCCGGAGAAAAAGCAUCGGCUAACUCCGUGCCAGCAGCCGCGGUAAUACGGAGGAUGCGAGCGUUAUCCGGUUUUAUUGGGUUUAAGGGGUGCGUAGGCGGAUCGUUAAGUCAGUGGUCAAAUUGAGGGGCUCAACCCCUUCCCGCCAUUGAAACUGGCGAUCUUGAGUGGAAGAGAAGUAUGCGGAAUGCGUGGUGUAGCGGUGAAAUGCAUAGAUAUCACGCAGAACCCCGAUUGCGAAGGCAGCAUGCCGGCUUCCGACUGACGCUGAAGCACGAAAGCGUGGGGAUCGAACAGGAUUAGAUACCCGUGUAGUC